UAUAAUAAUGAAUUAAUUAAUAAAAAAAAAAAAGGGUUGGUUAAGAACUAUUGACUGUAAACCAUAGCAGUUACAGUCACUCAAUGGAGAUGUUCGCCUUUGUUUGGAAUGAAGAUGGAUGAACAGGCACUUGAGCCUGGAACGGGUUGGUUAAGAACUAUUGACUAUAAACCAUAGCAGUUAUAGUCACUCAAUGGAGAUGUUCGCCUUUGUUUGGAAGGAAGAUGGAUGAACAAGCACUUGAGCCUGGAACUGAUGAAAUUCGGGGAAAACAUGGAAGCGGUCAAUAUACUGGGGGGGCAAGACAUGACCGCGACUUAAGAAAAAAGUACCCUUGAAAAGACUAAAGGAACGGGGGAAUGACUACCUGUAAUAAAGCACAGGCUAAUACGAGCCGACCAGAAGAAGCAAGGCUUAGAUUACCAGAUCCUGGACACAAUCUUCCUAGAGAUGGAGAGCCCCUUGCCUCGCCUUUUUGCACCUAUCCUUCUUGCUUGCUUACCUAUAGCUCUCUUGUCUUAGUGACUCUUCCUCUUUUCUAGGUUUUUUUUUCUGAGUGUUAAAACGAUAGAUUUUUCUUUUGCCAAUGAAUUGGAUCCGCUCCGAUUCAAUCAAUAAUGGGAUUCUUGGCUAGAGAAAGGUUCUGUGACAUGGACUCCCAGCCCAACCCGGUUGGUCGGUUGGCCCACCUAAUAGAUGAUGAGAUUCUCGAUCGAUUUGAUCGAAUUUCAAAAACUCUUUCCCACUAUUCAGAAUAGUGGAGCUUCCGAUCAAGAUCUUCUUGCCUCACCCGUUUGGGCUCUCGCUCGAAUCACAACCUUUAUGUGUUGGUAGGCUUUCGAAUCAAUCUAAUAGCCUACCUAUCGGGCGCCAAUAAAAGAGAACGUUUUCGCAUGGGCUCAUCUUCUGAUGCAGAACCGAUGCGAGAGGGAGAAGCGGGGAUUGAUAGCUUUCAAGAACCAGUAGAAAGGAAAGACUUCUUCCCUGCAAUCCUUCCUUUCCAAAAAAAAAGUAAAUUUGUUUGGGAUGGCAUAGGCAUAAAAUAUUUGGUUAAAUGAAUGCCACCUUGGUAGUUUUCAAACAAAUCCAAUGUUAGUCCAAGCCUUGCCAGCCGGUAAUAGCCGAAGGCAAAAAAGGGGGAGAUAGGUAAGAGGAGAUUAAGGAUAGUCACUCCGCUCCAUAGAUAGUGCACACAGAUUCUUCUUUCAUUUUCCAUUCCUUUCGGGUCGGAAACGCGGGCUGCUAGUGGGGCUGUGCCCAUUCUCCCUCUUCUUCCGCUUUACAACCGGAAUAAGGAACCUUAGAAUUCACCCUACCUGUCGAUGAAAAAAUGGGAUUUGAGAGGAGCUGAAAGCCACUUGACUCUAAGGAGAGGACCACCAGCUAGCGGAUCAGAAAGAUUUGUAUGGAAUGUCCUACUCCUGCCUGAGCUUUCCGAUCAACCAAUCCCCUAUUUCAGGGACAUCUGUGUUAGGUAGGCCCAGGGAUCACUGAUUAGUCGAAUGAGCCCAUC
rnacentral:lncRNA from 1 species